rnacentral:tRNA from 1 species
UUGGACGUCGCCUAGCGGUCCAAGGCUGAAGGCUGUGACCCUUCCAUCGCGAGUUCGAAUCUCGUCGUUCAAC